rnacentral:rRNA from 1 species
UACGUAGGGUGCAAGCGUUUGUCCGGAAUUAUUGGGCGUAAAGAGCUUGUAGGCGGUUUGUCGCGUCUGCUGUGAAAUUUCGGGGCUCAACCCCGAACUUGCAGUGGGUACGGGCAGACUAGAGUGUGGUAGGGGAGACUGGAAUUCCUGGUGUAGCGGUGAAAUGCGCAGAUAUCGGGAGGAACACCGGUGGCGAAGGCGGUUCUCUGGGCCUUACCUGACGCUGAGGAGCGAAAGCGUGGGGAGCGAACAGG